rnacentral:tRNA from 1 species
AAGAUUUUAAGUUAAUAAAACUAUUAAUUUUCAAAAUUAAAAAUAAAUAAAAUAAAUUAAAUCUUA